GGGUGUGUGGCUCAGUAGUAGAGUGCAUGCCUAGCAUGCACAAGGUCCUGGGUUUAAUCCCCAGUACCUCCA
rnacentral:tRNA from 1 species